GAAGCAGACCAGAUGGCCGCCGCCCGCCGUAGCCUUGUGCGAAGGCGGGGGGAGGAAAGUCCGGGCUCCGCAGGGCAUGGUGCUGGAUAACGUCCAGCGGGGGCAACCCCAGGGAUAGUGCCACAGAGAGAAGUCCGCCCGCCAAAACCUCGGCUUCGGCUCUGGCAACGGCAGGUAAGGGUGAAAGGGUGAGGUAAGAGCUCACCGGGUCCGGCGGUGACGUCGGAUGCCAGGUAAACCCCACCAGGAGCAAGACCAAAUAGGGGAGCGUUAAGGGCGGCCCGUCCGUGCUCCCGGGUUGGUUGCUUGAGGCCGUCGGCAACGGCGGUCCUAGAUGAAUGACCAUCGCCCGUCCCCGGGUAACCGGGGCCGGGAACAGAACCCGGCUUACGGGCUGCUUCGACC
rnacentral:RNase_P_RNA from 1 species